UCCAGCUGCUGCAAGCCCCAGUGCUGCCAGUCUGUGUGCUGCCAGCCCACCUGCUGCCACCCUAGCUGCUGCAUCUCCAGCUGCUGCCGCCCCAGCUGCUGUGUGUCCAGCUGCUGCAAGCCCCAGUGCUGCCAGUCUGUGUGCUGCCAGCCCAACUGCUGCCGCCCCAGCUGCAGCAUCUCCAGCUGCUGCCGCCCCUCUUGCUGUGAAUCCAGCUGCUGCCGCCCCUGCUGCUGCCUGCGUCCAGUCUGUGGCCGAGUCUCCUGCCACACCACUUGCUAUCGCCCAGCCUGUGUCAUCUCCACCUGCCCCCGCCCCGUGUGCUGCGCCUCCUCUUGCUGCUGAGCCCACUGCCCUGGCUCAUCUCUCCCUUCACCGCUGGUCCACAAAUGUAGACCAUUCUUCUGUGCUGAAUAUUAGGACACAUGGAGUGGGAUUUAUGUCAUUCAGCAGGGUGGACCUCAUGUAUCCAAUGAGCCCAUCACCAUCCCGCUGACUCUGUGAGAACAUUCUGGUUCAUUUUAAACUCCCUCCCUUGCUUUCUUUUUCUUCCAGUCAUGGCACCAAAUACGAAUUAAUUUGUAAUCCACUAGCUAAGAAAUUAUUCCAAUCCUCUAAAUUCCUCAUUUUUUAAAAUCAUUUUGAGCCUACAGAAUAUCCUUCCCAAUUAGGUACACAUUAUCUCCCUUUCAAACAUACUAUUUGUCUGUCAGCCUUUCAGUCAUUCUUUUCUUUUGGAAAGGUAGGAGGCUGCCCCUCCCGUGCUCUCCCGCUUUCUCCCUGCUCUCUCUUUCUCUCACUGUUCAAGUUUGUCAGAAUUUUUCUAUUUUAUUAGUUCUUUAUCUUUAUUGUGUUCACAAAAUAUAUUGUAUUAAACUUUUCAUUUAGAAAUCUUUUAUUGUUUUU
rnacentral:lncRNA from 1 species